rnacentral:misc_RNA from 1 species
GAUAUUUGUACCUAUUCCACAUUUUCGCAUUCGGCUAGCUCUGGCUUGCUCGCUACCAGCGCGCGAAAAAUUGCGCGGGGUUACUGGGGUUACUACGGUCCCUGGGUUACUCUCAUUACGCUCAUUACUUGCGGUGUCGAAACCAAUCAUGCACGCAUUUUUGAAAACGGCCAACCCAAACCUAAUCCUUCCCAAGGAGAAAGCUAAGGAACCCAAGCAGGUACCGAAGAAACCAGUGCAUAUUCCAUGGGUGGAAAAAUACCGGCCCAAAACCGUCGACGAUGUGGCUCACCAAGAUGAAGUGGUCUCUGUCCUUAAAAAGUCGCUUCAGGGAGCCGACCUCCCAAAUCUCCUGUUCUAUGGACCGCCAGGAACGGGGAAGACGUCCACUAUACUUGCUCUUGCCCGAGAACUCUUUGGAGACAUGUAUAAGAGUCGCAUUCUGGAGCUGAAUGCUUCUGAUGAACGUGGCAUCCAGGUUGUCCGAGAUAAAAUCAAGACGUUUUCACAACUCACAGCAAGUAGUACAGGACCUGAUGGCAAACCGUGUCCACCGUUCAAGAUUGUAAUUCUAGACGAAGCGGAUUCCAUGACCGCAAGUGCUCAGGCAGCCUUGCGUCGUACCAUGGAGAAGGAGACGAGGACAACUCGUUUCUGUCUCAUCUGUAACUACAUAAGCAGAAUCAUAGACCCACUGACAUCGCGUUGCUCAAAGUUCCGGUUCAAGCCUUUGCCUAAGGAAGUUCUAAUAGAACGCCUACGCAGCAUAUGUACAGCUGAAGCAGUUCAAUGCGAUGAUCAGGUGCUGGACUUUCUUAUGGAUGCUUGCGAAGGAGAUAUGCGAAGAGCAAUCACCCUUUUCCAAAGUGUUUCUCGGCUUAAAUGUAAUGAACCUGUAACCUCCCAUGAUGUGGCUGAAGUUGCUGGGAUCAUUCCAAAGCAGUGGAUUGAUGGCCUGCUUACGAGCUGUGCAUCGAACUCAUAUGAGAAGCUCAGUGCAACAGUUGAGUGAGGUGAAGUAGUUAGAGUUAUGGUCCGCGCAUCUGGGUUGGAUUGGAUGAUCAUGCGCAAGUUUCAGGACCUCGUGCUUGAAGGCUUUGCGGCAUCGCAACUUUUCAGCCAGCUGCACGAUGCCAUUGUAUUGAGCAACAAGUACGAUGACAAACAGAAGUCAGCAAUAGCCGAGAAGCUUGCU